rnacentral:rRNA from 1 species
CCUACGGGCGGCAGCAGUGGGGAAUAUUGCACAAUGGGGGAAACCCUGAUGCAGCAACGCCGCGUGAGUGAAGACGUAUUUCGGUAUGUAAAGCUCUUUCAGUAGGGACGAAGAUGACGGUACCUGAGUAAGAAGCCCCGGCUAACUACGUGCCAGCAGCCGAGGUAAUACGCAGGGGGCAAGCGUUAUCCGGAUUUACUGGGUGUAAAGGGAGCGUAGACGGCUGCGCAAGUCUGAAGUGAAAGCCCGGGGCUCAACCCGGGGACUGCUUUGGAAACUGGGUGGCUAGAGUGCUGGAGAGGCAAGCGGAAUGCCUAGUGUAGCGGUGAAAUGCGUAGAUAGUAGGAGGAACACCAGUGGCGAAGGCGGCCUGCUGGACGACGACUGACGUUGAGGCGCGAAAGCGUGGGGAGCAAACAGGAUUAGAUACCCUAGUAGUC